rnacentral:rRNA from 1 species
AACGAACGCUGGCGGCAUGCUUAACACAUGCAGGUCGAACGUUAUCUUCGGAUGGCGCGGCGGACGGGUGAGUAACACGUGGGAACCUGCCCAGAGGUACGGGAUAACCCAGGGAAACUUGGGACAAUACCGUAUGUGACCUGCGGGUGAAAGAUUUAUCGCCUUUAGAGCGGCCCGCGUCUGAUUAGCUAGUUGGUGAGGUAAAGGCUCACCAAGGCUACGAUCAGUAGCUGGUCUGAGAGGAUGACCAGCCACAUUGGGACUGAGACACGGCCCAAACUCCUACGGGAGGCAGCAGUGGGGAAUCUUGCGCAAUGGGCGAAAGCCUGACGCAGCCAUGCCGCGUGGAUGAUGAAGGUCUUAGGAUUGUAAAAUCCUUUCACCGGUGAAGAUAAUGACUGUAGCCGGAGAAGAAGCCCCGGCUAACUUCGUGCCAGCCGCCGCCGUAAAAC